UACGUAGGGUGCGAGCGUUAAUCGGAAUUACUGGGCGUAAAGCGUGCCAGGCGGUUCGUUGUGUCGGCGGUGAAAGCCCCGGGCUUAACCUGGGAAUGGCCGUCGAAACUGGCGAACUGGAGUGUGGCAGAGGGGGGUGGAAUUCUGCGUGUAGCAGUGAAAUGCGUAGAGAUGCGGAGGAACACCGAUGGCGAAGGCAGCCCCCUGGGCUGACACUGACGCUCAUGCACGAAAGCGUGGGGAGCAAACAGG
rnacentral:rRNA from 1 species